rnacentral:rRNA from 1 species
UACGUAGGGCGCAAGCGUUAUCCGGAAUUAUUGGGCGUAAAGAGCGUGUAGGCGGCCUUACAGGUCAGCUGUGAAAACUCGAGGCUCAACCUCGAGACGUCGGUUGAAACCGUAUGGCUAGAGUCCGGAAGAGGAGAGUGGAAUUCCCGGUGUAGCGGUGAAAUGCGCAGAUAUCGGGAAGAACACCCGUGGCGAAGGCGGCUCUCUGGGACGGUACUGACGCUGAGACGCGAAAGCGUGGGGAGCGAACAGG